rnacentral:rRNA from 1 species
CCUACGGGAGGCAGCAGUAAGGAAUAUUGGUCAAUGGACGAGAGUCUGAACCAGCCAUGCCGCGUGAAGGAUGAAGGCCCUCUGGGUUGUAAACUUCUUUUAUAGGGGACGAAAAAAGGGAAUUCUUUCCCACUUGACGGUACCCUAGGAAUAAGCACCGGCUAACUCCGUGCCAGCAGCCGCGGUAAUACGGAGGGUGCAAGCGUUAUCCGGAUUUACUGGGUUUAAAGGGUGCGUAGGUGGGCAGUUAAGUCAGUGGUGAAAUCUCCGAGCUUAACUCGGAAACUGCCAUUGAUACUAUCUGUCUUGAAUAUCCUGGAGGUGAGCGGAAUAUGUCAUGUAGCGGUGAAAUGCUUAGAUAUGACAUAGAACACCAAUUGCGAAGGCAGCUCACUACGGGAUUAUUGACACUGAGGCACGAAAGCGUAGGGGAUACAAACAGGAUUAGAUACCCGUGGUAGUCCACGCCCUAAACUAUGGAUACUCGACAUCAGCGAUACACUGUUGGUGUCUGAGCGAAGCAUUAAGUAUCCCGACGUGGAAGUACGAAGUCGNGAGAGUAGUUAAUUAAGUAGAGUUGNGNGNGAGAGNGACGACGACGACGACGGAGGGAGGAGG